GUAAUUGCAAUUAGCUGAUUAAUUAUAAAGACUCCCAAUAACAUAACAUAGUUUGCUAUUCAACGUUAAUCACAGGGGAUCAAGCCCAGCCGAACCGACAUUCAACAGCUCGCAAGGAGGCUUCGACUUCAAGGUCUCGUGAAGCAUCCGAGAAGAUAGUGAACUGAAUAUUCGACUUUGCGGGAGAAGAUGAAGGCCAUAUGCAAGGUAAUGCCCCUUAUGGUCUUCAGUCUCUGCGGUUUUGUGGUCUCCGGUGAUUUCUUCUUUUCCAAUCUUCUUGCAAGUUAUGGAGUUACGUUUGCAAAUUUACUUCUUCCAUCAUUUCCGGAAAACAAGUCAUAUUCCAUCAAUGGAAUUGUAAUCCAGUUUUGAGCUCGCAUCGUUCACUUUUAGUCUGGUGAAUUUCUUGUUAGUUGGUAACACCGGAAAUGGUCCGAUGCAGCAGAGAUUUAUCCUAUAACAUACAGCGUCGCUAUUUGUAAUGUUCUGAUGAA